UUACAGAAUUACACGUACAUUUGUAUUUGUGUGUGUAUUUGUGUUUAGUACCCUGUUCGAGAGGGUUUCAGUCUGCUGCUGUAUCCGUUGUCGGUGAUGGGGCCAUACGGAUCUCACACGGUUCUGAUACCAGUGACCGGGACUGAGCAGAACACACAACGCAGCCAAAAUCCGCAGGCAAACAACAGCAAGAUCAGCGCUCAAAGUGUGUCCAAGCUUUUACAUGCAAACAGUGCAUUUCCCCAGCCGGACCCUGGCCAUGGCCCUGCCCUGGACUCUGCUCCCAGCCCCGCUCCUGACCUUCACACAGUCCCAUCGGAGUCUUUGGUUAUGCGGGGGCAGGUACAGAGCAGCUCUCAAUUCACAUGCACCUUCUCAGCACUGGACCCUGUUCUGUCCUGAUGGAUUUCUUGAUUUCUUUUGGUUUCAGAUAUCAAAUUUCGUCCCUUCAAACGUCCCUCUGCAGGUCUAUUCAUUUGUCCAGCAGGCUGUAAUUUUAGACUCAGGCAGUUCAGAGGAAGGAGCUGCUGCUCAGGUGAUUUAUAUGGUUCCUAUCAGCGUGGAUUCACCCAACGUGAGUGUGAUGGAGGGCACCGUGCCCAAUCCUGACCCAGGACACCUGCAGAUCCCAGCCAGCACCCCUGCUGUGGCCACUGCGGCACGACCGGACGCUCAGGGACAGCUGGGGAAAACUGUGGGGACAGAAAGAGCCACGCAGACACGCUCUGGGAGUGAAAGGCCUCUGACCACAAGCACUCCACAGGAAACACAUCAGCUGUCAAGAAAAUGAAAGGCCAUUCACUGAUGCUUGGAAACUGUUGUGUGCGGAAUUGUAAAAUAACUUCAGCCAUAAAACAGCUCUAUAGUCAAUGUGUUGUCAUUAUUCAGUGAGCUCAUUUAUUAGUUUCAGCUGAUCAUAGCUUAAUCUAUACAAUGAAUAUUAGUUUUCUUUUAAUCCCCAGAUCAUAUCAUAUUAAAUUGUCUUUACUGUGACUGUAGUUCAGAAGUGCUCCCAACAAUCAUCAACGUUUAAAUCCAACUCUCCUUUUAGACUUUAUACUUUGGAUAUGAAAAAGAGGCAAGUUACAAAGAAACACUGAGGUUUUAAUUUAUUUAAGGCAACAGAGGAGGUGAAUUCUGUCUGAUUACACAACGAGACGCUACCAGAUAAACAAGACAAAUGAUUGUGCUUAUCAUGUUUGUGUUAUUUGCCUUCGAAUAACACUGGAGUGCGAUUGAACUGCUGAUUGUCGUUUUUGGGAUGUGAGUUACUGUGAGAACUUGGCAUUUCCUCCUGGUGUGUGUGACCUUUGACCUCAGUAUCAUUUCCAUUCAGCGGAUUCGUUUAUUUACAUUAAAGUCUGGUGCCGUCCUUUAUUUGUGUGUUUAUCUAUUGAUAAUGGUUUGUUCCUGUAGUAAAUAACCUAGAAAUUUUCAUCUCUUCUAUUAUUGUGGGUAAAAGUAGUGAACUUAAUGAGACAUGAGUGGAUUUUGUCCUCUGUGACACAAAGUUCUUUAAUAUUCUAACUCUUAUUUAUUUAUCUUUACAUUCUAUAAGUGAAGUGUUUGUUCUAUAGCAAUACAG
ensembl:lncRNA